UACGGUCAAAUCGCGUCGAAACAGCGGUUCCCAUUUGAUCACCGAAAUUAAGCAGCGUCGAGCCCGUUCAGUACCUAGAUAGGGAACCGCUUGGGAACACU